CAUGCAGUCGAACGAUCCCGCAGGGAGAGUGGCGGAAGGGUGAGUAACACGUGGGAAUCUACCUCCUCGCAGGGAACAACCUCUCGAAAGAGAGGCUAAUACCCAAAAGGGUCAGAAAUGAUCAGAGUCGAAAGGCGUGAGGAGAGGAGCCCGCGGCCCAUCAGCUAGUUGGUGAGGUAAUGGCUUACCAAGGCAACGACGGGUAGGGGAUCUGAGAGGAUGUCCCCCACACUGGAACUGAAACACGGUCCAGACGCCUACGGGUGGCAGCAGUGAGGAAUAUUGGACAAUGGGCGAAAGCCCGAUCCAGCAACGCCGCGUGGAGGAUGAAGGCUUCGGGUCGUAAACUUCUUUAGAGGGGGACGAGAAAGGACGGUAUCCCUAGAAUAACGACGGCAACUACGUG
rnacentral:rRNA from 1 species